GGCGAACGCUGGCGGCGUGCUUAACACAUGCAAGUCGAACGGGCCUGUCUUCUUUUUUGGGGGGUGGGUUGAGUGGCGAACGGGUGAGUAUCACGUGAGUAACCUGCCCUUCGGUCCUGGAUAACCGCUUGAAAGGGCGGCUAAUACGGGGUGGUCCGGUUGGUCCGCAUGGGCUGGUCGGGAUAGAUUCACUGUUUUUGGUGUUUCGGCGGGGGAUGGGCUCGCGGCCUAUCAGCUUGUUGGGGGGGUGAUGGCCUACCAAGGCGGUGACGGGUAGCCGGCCUGAGCGGGUGGGCGGCCACACUGGGACUGAGAUACGGCCCAGACUCCUGCGCGGGGCAGCAGUGGGUGGUAUUGCACGAUGGGCGGAAGCCUGAUGCAGCGACGUCGCGUGAGGGAUGGAGGCCUUCGGGUUGUGAACCUCUGUUUCCGGUGGUGAAGGCCCUGUCCGUGUGGUGGGGUUGACGGUAGCCGGGGAUGAAGCGCCGGCUAACUACGUG
rnacentral:rRNA from 1 species